UACAGAGGGUGCGAGCGUUAAUCGGAAUUACUGGGCGUAAAGCGUGCGUAGACGGUUACAUAAGUCGGGUGUGAAAGCCCCGGGCUCAACCUGGGAAUUGCAUUCGAGACUGCGUAGCUAGGGUGCGGAAGAGGGAAGCGGAAUUUCCGGUGUAGCGGUGAAAUGCGUAGAUAUCGGAAGGAACACCCAGUGGCGAAAGCGGCUUCCUGGUCCAGCACCGACGUCAGGCACGAAAGCGUGGGGAGCAAACAGGG
rnacentral:rRNA from 1 species